GACGAACGCUGGCGGCGUGCUUAACACAUGCAAGUCGAACGCUGAAGCUCAGCUUUUGUUGGGUGGAUGAGUGGCGAACGGGUGAGUAACACGUGAGUAACCUGCCUCCUUCUUUGGGAUAACGCCCGGAAACGGGUGCUAAUACUGGAUAUUCACUGGUCUUCGCAUGGGGGUUGGUGGAAAGGGUUUUUCUGGUGGGGGAUGGGCUCGGGGCCUAUCGGCUUGUUGGUGGGGUGAUGGCCUACCAAGGCUUUGACGGGUAGCCGGCCUGAGAGGGUGACCGGUAACAUUGGGACUGAGAUACGGCCCAGACUCCUACGGGAGGCAGCAGUGGGGAAUAUUGCACAAUGGGCGCAAGCCUGAUGCAGCGACGCCGCGUGAGGGAUGGAGGUCUUCGGGUUGUGAACCUCUUUCGCUCAUGGUCAAGCCGCAACAAUGGUUGUGGUGAGGGUAGUGGGUAAAGAAGCGCCGGCUAACUACGUG
rnacentral:rRNA from 1 species